rnacentral:lncRNA from 1 species
GGCUGGGCCAAAUAAAUGAUUAAAUGAAUAAACAGUUCAUAAUCUGUUGUCGCUUAUUACUGUUAACUAAUAAAUUGCGCUUGUAGAACUGUUGUAUAAAAGCAAUAUCACACUGAGGUCGUGCUGUUAUACUGAAUAUUAUUAUCUGCGGCCUCGUACCCACGCCCGAAUCACAGCCGUGCUGAUUGCACUCCCUUUCUUGUGAUAUUGCUUAACGGACGUUCAUCACAUUAUCUAGCUACAUAAGGGAGGCCUAUAAUUAAAAAGUCAAAGACGGUCCAAAUCUUUGAGUCAUUUAACAACACCAUGAAUGAAGAUGGAAUGGAUGACACAUAUCCAGGCAUGGAUCAUAUAUCAACCGCAGUAUUAAAAUCUGCUAAUAUAAGCACAAACAUGCUGCCCAGCCUUUCUAAGGAGGAUUUACAGUGAUUUCUUUCCCAGGCCAGAGCACUUCUUCAGAAGGAGAACCAUUUGGAGAUUUACUCAUGGUGAAAAUGAGGGUCAAGAAUCAGACCUGUGAAGACCAGGCACCUCCUCUGGGACCUUUCUUCAGGCGAGACCACUCUUCAGCCCUGUCGUGAUUGUCUGCGAACCCAACUGCGUACUGGCCAUUGGAACCAUGCCUGUGGUGACCUUCCCAAAAGAGGACAUCUAUGCCAGCGUGACGUAUCUCAUGGAGUGUUAUUACACCUUUACCUCACAUAUCCCAAGUACAUUGUGACACUCCUCUCUGUGUUGCAGACAGAAGUCCUCUCGGACGCCAUCCACGACCAGGACAUGACUUCUUCAUAUAAAAAGGCUAUGGCCGAGUGGAAAAAGUUCAUUACUGACUAGGGUUGCACAAUACCAUUUUUUCAUUUCCAGUCCCGAUAACAAAACUGUGUAUUGGCCCAUCCGAGAACUGAUCCUAUAACCUUUAAUAAAUAGACAGGGCGUUUGUUGUUUAUUAUAAGAAGGUUUAAAGCACUGUUAUGAAUGUUAUCUUCCCAUUGGUCUUACAUUUUCACCUUGACCACCAAUGGCCUUUGUUGUUUUUGCAUCCAGUUCUGCCCAUAUCAGCCUCUGGAUAUACUGAGUCUUCAAUAAAGAAGUGAAAAGAAAUGAGAUUCAUCACAUUUACAUCUUAGUCAUUUAGCAGAAGCUCUUAUUCAGAGCGACUUACAGUAGUGAAUGCAUACAAUUCAUACAUUUUUUUUUUUCUUCCUUCCCUGUGUUGGUCCCCCAUGGGAAUUGAACCCACAACCCUGGUGUUGCAAACACCAUGCUCUACCAACUGAGCCACUCUUUCAUUCUUUCUUUAAGCUGGCCAAUCUCAUUUCUAAUAGUAGUACAAGUACAUUUAUCUUAGUCAAGAUUACUUAUUUUAAGCAAAAUGUUUCUGUAAAUUCCUGGGAAUAUUGCCUUAUUUCAAGACGAUUGCAAUAGCAUUGGAUUCUAAAUUUAAGCACAUUUUCCUACAGAUUUAGAAAAUAAUUCUUAAAUCUUUUAUUUGCAUACAGACAAAUGUACUUUUUUUUUGUGUAGCUGUACUGGUUUUAAGAUAUAUUUACUAAACAUAUAGCCUUAUUUCAAGAUGAUGGCACUAGCAUUUGCUAAAUUUAAGCACAUUUUCCUACAUAUUGAGAAAAUUAUUCUUACAUCUUUUCUUUGUAUCCAGACAAAUUACUUGUUUUUAGUCUGAACGCACUAGGUUUAAGAUAUCUGUACAUUCUUUGAGACUAGAUAUUUUAACUUGUUUAAAAAAUCUUGUCAAGUAAAAUUUUCCUGUUCUGUUGGCAGAUCAUUUUGCCUAUUUUAAGUAAUAUUUCCCUAAUUGUAUUGCUUUUAUUUCUUGUUUUUGAGAGCUGACUUGCAGUGUAGGCUUUAGGGGGUGAGGGAGAGUGUUGUCUAGUAGUGAUUGUGCGGACCUUGGUUGUUUAUAUUUCUCUGUCAAAAGAGGUUUGUUCCUUGUAAUAGACUGUUUCUUGCUCUUCCAAUACACCAUUUUCUACUUCUCCAGUGCAGCUUGUCUGAGCUUCAUUUGGAAUGGUUAUAGAGGUCGAAGUCUCAGACUUUAAGCAUUCUGGCUCUUCUUUUCCUUCAAACAAUGGUUGAGAAGGUUUACCUGAGUAUUGUUGUGACUUCCCAGUUAUCUGGUUAGUAGAAGACCCUGAGGCUCCUGCCACUGCAGGCUGUUCAGAUUUAGACGCACUUGGUGAUUUUAUUGAACAUAUUGGAAUGUCUGUGUCUGAGCUUUUCAUGGCUUUCUUGUCAUUUGAUGGUCCAGUCGAAGAAGAAUCCCUGAGCGAAUUGGAUUCAAUAAUGUCCCUUUCUUCUGCUAUUAAAUCCUGCUUUGUUCUCAUUCAAAUCUUGUUUAGUUGGGGAGCGGGACAGAGAACCUGGACUUCUGGUGUGCGGUCCUUUAUGUUUUGAGAUUCCAUUAGUAUUUUUAUCUCCCUGGGGUAGUGGAUUCACCUGCCCUGGAUCUGAGUGAUCCGAGUGGUUGUUGUCAAUAAAGUCCCCCACUUCUACGGGCCCACCUAGGUCCCUCCCCCUGCGCCUCCUUGAUGGUGGGAGAGCCCACCUCUGACCAGUAAAGUCAAUCACAAACUGAGAGACAGGUCAACCACAGAAGAACUAGAAUGAGAUUAUGCUUACUUUGAGGUGAAGAUCAACACAAAGUAUAUUACAUUGAAGUGUUUUCAUACAUUUGCAUUGGGCUGUGAUCUGAGGGUGGUGAAUAUGGAUGCCAUAGACUGCAGACACUAUUAUUUAGCAAGCUAACUUACUAUCAUAGAACAAUAUAUUCAUUAUCUAUGUGUUUUUAGCCAGCAAGGCAGUCCCUCGCAUUUGAGUGAAAGCUAGCAAGAGGCCUGCCCAGCGUUAUUUUACAUUUUAGUCAUUUAGCAGACACUUUUUUUUUUGUACUGGCCCCCCGUGGGAAUUGAACCUACAACCCUGGCGUUGCACACACCAUGCUGGCGUUGCAAACACCAUGCUCUACCAACUGAGCCACAGGGAAGGCUCUUAUCAAUGAUGUUAGCUAUCUGUUAGCUAGCUAGCAAACUAACACCGAUUUAGCCUACUGUAAUUUCCGGACUAUUAAGCGCACCUGAAUAUAAGCCGCACCCACUGAAUUAAAAAAUAUAUAUUAUUUUGAACAUAAAUAAGCCGCACAUGUCUAUAAGCCGCAGGUGCCUACCGGUUACUUUGAAACAAAUUAACUUUACACAGGCUUUAACGAAACACGGCUUGUAACAAAAAUAAAUAGGCUUUAACGAAACACGGCUUGUAACAAGAAAUAAAAAAUUAGCAGUAAGCUUUAGUUGUCUUUUUGCACUGAGUCAAUUCCUCAUGCUGCUGUUUCCAACGUCUUAUCAUCGACUCAUUAAGACCAAGCUCCCGUGCAGCAGCUCUAUUUCCUUUUCCAACAGCCAGAUCAAUCGCCUUCAACUUGAAAGAUGCAUCAUAUGCAUUUCUCUGUGUCUUUGCCAUGAUGAGGGUGACAAAAUGACUACCGUAAUCAGAAUGAUGGGAAGUUUGAGAGCGCUCUAUUUAAUCUAAACAGUAAACAAAAAAGUUUUUGACCGUAACCCGUUCGGCAAUUUCAUUGGUCUAAUGAAAGCUUCAUGCCGGCAAAAAACAGCACGUCACAGAAUGUUUUUAUUUUUUUGCGGAAAUUUUUUUUAAAGCGGGAAAAAUCCAUAUAUUGUUUAAGCCUCGAGGUUCAAAGCCUGGGAAAAAAGUUGCGGCUUAUAGUCCGGAAUUUACAGUACUCUCAAGCUUGUAAGUCAAGUGGUCCAGUGGCUACACUACAUUGAACAUCUUCCACAAAUACAUACUAGCUAUAACUUUACCUAUAGCUUUAUCUAGCUAGCUAAUUGAAUAAGAAAAUCCCAAGCUUUACCUGAGGAGGGGGUGGGACCUAGUGAGUGACGUGUGACGAGUCAAGUGACAGUUGUGGCACGCUCCCAGCUGGUUUGGCAACCCCAACUCAUCAAUUAACUAGCCAUAACUAAUUUGCUGUACAGUGUAAAUAUAUUUUUAUCAAAAUAAUUACUCGCUACAGUUCUUGUUCUGUUGUGUUUUCACACAUGCAAUGAGUGAGUCAAACAUGCCUCUCUGCUGCCGUAGUCACCGGGUAGCCAUUGCUACUUCACGGGGAACACUUUUACCUGUGUGUAAGCAGCAUGAUUGACCCAUCCUCCCCUGAUAAAUGGCCUUGCCUAGGCCUUGUUCUCGGUGUCACUGUAAACACCUAGAACUUCAACAUCCGAGUCCUCUCCACUCCCCGAGCUGAGCAAAAUUACAUCCUCUAUAUUGCUGUCAACUUCUCAAGUUAGACAUUUAGCUAGCAUCUAGCCAGCGAACCAUCUGUCGGCAUGCAUGAGUCUUUUUAAAAUGUGUUUAUUUAACUAGGCAAGUCAGUUAAGAACAAAUUAUGAUUUACAAUGGCUGCCUACACCAGCCAAACCCUAAACUGGAUGACACUGGGCCAAUUGUGCGCUGCCCUAUGGGACUCCCAAUCACGGCCGGUUGUGAUACAGCCUGGAAACAAACCAGGGUCUGUAGUGACACCUCUAGCACUGAGAUGCAGCGCCUUAGACCGCUGCGCCACUUGGGAGCCCCAGUCCGAUGUUCUAACGUUACUGAAACACAGCGAGACAAUGAUAUCCAUUUUAUGAAAACGAUGCCGUAAACGUUUUGUAAUAGAUAAUCCAAAACAUUAUUCACAAUAACGUUAGCUAGCAAGUAGCCACAUAAAGCAAAUCCAUAAAUGUCCUUACUAGUAUUCUGCCAGCAGCACAAACGAUUACAUCACUGUAGUGUGGUAAUGAGGAAACCUUAAAAAAUAAAAGCCUGCAUUUCAAAACAUUGCUUAUUUUGGAUAACUCAUUUAAAUUAUAUAUUUUGUUGUCAAUGGCCACUGUUAUUGUGCCAACAAGAAAAUGCAAUAAGUAAUUAUGAAAAAAUUAAAUGUUGAGACUGGUCUGUUGAGCAUAUUGGGCUUUAGAGAGAAACCAUUUCAACAUGUCUCAGCUAAAGUGGGGUGGAAAAUACUCAGUAGGGUCUCUAAUAACCAAAUAUGGUUAGUUUUGGAAGGGGACUGUAUCUUAAUUAUCCAGCAGCACUUUGUUCUGUAAAGGCCUAUUAACCAAGUUUUCAAAACCAAUAACGGAGACAAGAUGGAAAGAUAAUAUACAAUACAGAGACGUGAUGAUUAUCUAUCAAGCUCAGCAAAGGCAUUUUCUGUGGUUUUAAAUGUAUUACGUAGUAAUUUUCUCUCUGAUAACUCAUAAAACAUAUCCUUGCAUGCCAUUGUUCCUUCAGAUGUGACUUCAAAAGAUAAUUGCACCUGUCAAUUAUUCGGUCAUUGAACCACUUGUUGUCAUUCCUUAAUAUUUAUAAUCCUCGUUAGUAAGAUGUAAGAGUUGUAAGAGUUUUGGUUGUCUCUAGUAAUGCCUUUGGAGCAUGGAUGACAUUAAAAAGCCUGACCGCUAAAAAUUGUUUGAAGUAUUACAUGUUUUACAAAUCUUGUUUUCUUGGGAUGCUUGUGGUGAAAGGAAUUAUUUGAUGCCUCUUUCUGUAUUGACUUGGUUCAACAAUUUGUUUUUUUACCCUGGCUAUACAUGGCUUUCUUGCACUGACUGCAAUUUUGAGAGCAUACACUUUGAAUGUGGAGGAGAUCAUUGGCUUAGAAAUUUGCAGGUAGCAUUUCCUUCACAAAAUAUUCUGUCACACAUAUCGCUGUUUUGAAGUCUGUUAAAACAAUGGUUGUGUAGUCUGUCCUGUUUUCACUGCAUCCAACUGUGAAAUUACUUUGCCAAAUUGCUGAUUUGGACUCACACUGUUUGCUUUAAGUAAUCUUUUGUGACAUUCUUUGAAAGCAGAUGUUUUCUUCAGAAAUGUCAAAACAGGAAAGCUUUACCCUCAAGAUGAUUGGGAAAAUAGUUACAUGUUGGAAUAACAUCACUAUCUGAAUCGGACUCACAUGGCUGUCCUUGCUCACUGAUAAAGCUUCUGUGAAGGCCCUCAUUACAUAAUUCAUACAAACAUAUAACUCCUGCUGUGUCCUCAAUGUUUGUAGAUUCUAUAAAAAUAAGAUUAAGAUUAUCUCUAUAGAGAUUAAGUGAAUCAAAUAUAAAAUGUGCCCAGUCGUGUUCUUUUUGUGCGUUUAUCCCUGAAUGACAGAUUACUGAGCUCAAUCUGUAGGUCAACCUCUCAUUGCCAACUGCUGGAAGAUCAAUAAAGCAAGAUGGGGAUACAGGGUUUCGCAUGACAAUGGUGACUUUUGACCUUACAUGACAAACAUUAAGUACAAGAAUAUCCGGAGUUCUGCUCCAAAUUGUUUGUCUACUGCUGCUCAUUUACUGUAUGUGUGAG